UUCUGGCUUUUUUUUUUUAAUCAGACACCUGGCAUUUCUGAACAUUGUAAGUAACUCCUUCACGUAUGGGAGAGGGAUUCUUGGGCAGGUGGUGUCUGGGAAGUGGGCGGGGUGUUAUGAUGUCAAAAGAGUUUCCCGUCCAUUAAUGGGUGUAGCGGGAUGUGCUGGAAACCAGUACUUUCUCAGCGACCCUCAAGGGACCACAGCUGUUUAUGGAGGAGGUCCCCAUCCAAGUCUAUCCCAGAAGGGGCUCAUUUCCAGGUUCACCGUGAACAGACCCCGCCUACUGGCAAGGCUCAGCCUGUGUCAUGUGAUGAAGAAUUACAAAGACUCCAUCAGCAGUGGAGUCCAACACAGUUCAUCUCCUUGUCUAGCCAUGUAAGUGAGGAAAACGUGAAAAGGUCACCAGAGAACAUCUCCUCGAACAUGGAAGACUUCCUGUCCCCCAUGGGCCCUGACUGACUGAGACGGACGCUUCCUGUCCCCCAUGGACCCUGACUGACUGAGACGGACGCUUCCUGUCCCCCAUGGACCCUGACUGACUGAGACGGACGCUUCCUGUCCCCCAUGGACCCUGACUGACUGAGACGGACGCUUCCUGUCCCCCACGCCAUGCUGGUCUUUUCAGCACGUCUCCCUGGCUCUGCUUCUGUCUUGCUCCUCAAGGAUACAUUAGAUAAUGUGGAAACUUGGCUCUGACCUCUCUCUCUCUCUCUCUCUCUCUCUCUCUCCACCGAGCGCGCUCUUGUCACUUCUCGUCUCAUUUGAGCUUAAUUUACGAGGAAAAUAACCAACGUGAGUGAGAGCCCAGGGAGUGUUCAGCAAGCGGGGCAUGCAUAGUGAAGCUGUUGUCCCAAGCAAUGCCUGGAGGGGGAGACGUCCUGUGUGACAGUGAUACUCCUUCCUCACUGGAACUCACGACAGUGGGGGGCAUUAAGGGUAAGAAGCUUAAACUAGCACCGGAGGCUUGAUGGUUCAAAUCCCAGGUGUGAAAUGUCUGCUAUACCUUUGGUGAAAAAGACCCUUAAUAUCCAGUGUAUUAAAAACAGUGAGAGGUCUGUAAAUCUGUUGUGGGUGACCACCCCCUGUAAGUAAUGCGGUCUCGUAGAGAAACUGGGGGGGUGAGUCAGCGGCUGCCACACCUGGAGCUGCCUGUAGAGGGCAGUGUCCGCUCUCUACUCUGCGCUCAGGCACAGGUGAGCGAUUGCUUCACCCCACUUGGGAUGGGGCCUGGUGGCUGGACGCGAGUCCCUGCCUGCAGCACCUUUUACAUACUUUCUGCCCAUCUCCAUGCCACAGGUUCUUGUUAAUGGGGGCCAGCACAGGCAGACAGGUUGUGAAAGCCCUCCCCAAAGUGCUGGGCCCCCACCUUUAAGGGACACUAAUGCAGGGCUUAAGCCCCAGUGUAAACAGGACUCCCUACAUGAAAGUCGCGGUCCGGCCGCUUAAGCGGCCAUUGCCCAUUCCGAGGCCUAAUGGCUCUGUUUUAUUUUGUUGUUUAAACGUUUGGAUUGCGUUAUAUUAACAGAGCAAUCCACGUACCCCGUCUAAAUGGAAGUGCGUCUCUGUUUUCUCCGAAGCAGCUGUUAAAAUACUCUCUGUUCCACAAACUGCCUCCGGCUGCGGGAGCAUCCCUUUUUCGUCAAGUAAUUUACCGCCAUCCCUAGAGCGCGGUUGGCGUGAGAAUCACUUUGCGAAACAUGUUAAUCCUCCGGAGACACUGGGGAAAACCACGCCAGUUAAUCCAUCAGCAGGCCGAAUCCAAAUGAUGUCAGGAUCGACUGCUGGUGCCCUUGGGCUAAUGUGCGCGCUCCCGUGAGGAGAGCUCCCGUGAGGAGAGAUCCCGUGAGGAGAGAUCCCGUGAGGAGAGCUCCCGUGAGGA